rnacentral:rRNA from 1 species
AUGGGGACAAAAGAGUUGUUCAUCAAGCUCAUGAUCGACACCAACUCACAGAAGGUGUGCUUUGCCGAGGCCAGCAGAGAAGUCGUGGAGUUCCUCGCUGCCCUCCUGUCCCUGCCCCUGGGCACCGUCAUCAACCUGCAGACCAAGGAGAACAUGAUCGGCAGCAUCAGCAACCUCCUCGAUUGGCAGUGUAGAGAAGCUGGACGCCAACUUCAAGAGCAAGCAGCCGCGCCUCAGCCCAUCCGUCGGCACCGCCACGCUCAACCACCUACAGCACCUGCUGAGCCUGUACUACCUCAGCAACGCCCCCAGCAAAGGCCCCUACGGCGCAAGCGCAACAGCCAUGGCCAUAUCAGCGCCCAAGGCCACGUACACACGGUCGGGGAUGACCUCUCGGUGACUCCAGCGUCUUUUUUCACGACCAUUUCACUAUUGGGCCUCCCGCAGUUGGCGCAGUGCAGCAUCAAGGACCUCAACACGCUGCAGGAGAAGACCGUGAAAAUCGGCCAUAAAGAGGCGCUAGGGAUACUCGCUGCUUCUCUCAAGUCCAAGACCGUCCUCACGGAUGUCUUUCUGCCGAAGAAGAAUUGA